CUGGUCUCAGUCGACUCCGUGGACGAGACGAGGAGUUUCUCCACACAGACGGUGCCUGACACGCUGGUCCACCGCUGCCACUUCCAAGACACCGACCUCAUUGCAUCGCUUUGAAGUGUAGAGGUCCAGGGUUGCCAUGGACCGAGGUUUUCUUUGCUGCCAUGACAACGUAGGCUCUCUUUGGUCUCCCCUAACGACAGCAGAGUGGAACAGACAGCGCCUCGGAGAUGGAGAUGCUGUUGGACGGUGCACACGCAGCUGAAGUCCCCUGUCCUAACCUUUGCUGAGGAAGUGCAGUGGCCUAAGAGGCACUCAGCUCUAUUACUCAAGAAAAGGCACCAAUACACCAAGGUGAUUAAUGAGGCAAAGGCACCAAACUGCAGCUUUUUCAAGUGAACCCAAGCCUAAAGGUCAAGAACCUCUGACAGUGUGUUAUUUGUUAUGUAAAGUAUUUAAUGGUGGCUAGUAAUAUUAUCUCUCCAAUAAAUGUAGCGGAGUAAAUAGUAUGAUGUUGCAAAAAUCUUCAGUGAAUACUUCUCCUUUAUCUAUCAUCUGUGACAGUUGUGUUUGCAUGGGAUAUUUAUAUUGUUACCAGUGUUCUGCUCGCAUGUCUACCUCCUGAAUAUUUGCAUCGUGAACAGACUCGGCUGCCGGAAUAUUUCUAAACCAAACUGGCAGCCGACCCGGUCACGCUGAUUUAAUUUUGGUGAACUGAAGGAGGAAAUGUCAGAUGAAUAAACAUCUUGCUUCUAAUUGGAACGAUGAUAACAGGAAAUGACCUCAGUACAAACUGAAAAAAGAAGUUCAACUAUAUAAUCACGUAGAGCUUUUGUUUUUGUGUUAAUAGAAUUUGUCCGUUCUUACCUUAAGUCUCUCGGACACCCCGUCAGUGAAGCUGAUGGUGAACUCCUCCACCUUGGGAACCUUCAGUCUCUUCUUCUCUGUCUGGUACUCUGUGCGAGUUUUCACCACCACCUGCAGGAGGGAGAACCGGUUCAAGCAGUGAGACACAGAGAGAUGCUGCAGUGAGGAAUAGACUUAGACCGAUGCAUUAAAAGGCGUUAAUGUUUAAGAUGUAGAAAACAAGAGGCAGAGGCACAUAAAUGAUGGAAUAUAUUUGAGAACACUGUGUCCAGGACACUAUGAGCCGAGUAAGAAGACCUAAAAAAAUAAAAUAUGAAGAUGAGAAAAGACUGCACAGGCUAAGGGUGUAUCUGUCCAUGCGUAUAAAUAAAUAUUUCUGUCAGUAUCUCAGUGGAAAUGCAUCCUACAGACAACGUUCUGACAUUGUCGGAAUCUGUAGAGUCUCAGUCUUGUUUGCCUCCCUCCACAAGAUCUUACUCAGAACGGGAGUCACAUGCCUAUGAAUAGAGAAGCGCCACACGGGUCAUCUGUUGCUAUACAGUAUCUCCGCACAUUCAAUAUAUGCAU